CAAAUAAGUUCCCUACAUAUUCUAGGGUUAUUUUGAACCAAAAACUUUGCUUCUCAGGUGGAUCAAUAUGAAAACAAAGCCCAUGAGCUUUUAAAUAAUAAUGUUAAUUGGCACCAAAAAGAACAUAGAUAAAAUAAAAACAUAAUCAGUAUCAUACCUGGGCUACUAAGCUGUAAUUAAACAUUAGAUUUGAACUCAUCUUCUUUCUGCCUCAUCAACCACAUGUAUUAGAAAUGAAAUGCAGAAAAGUGAUGCAAGGAGAACCCCCAUAUGGACAGUUCACCUCCAAAGGGAUAAUUUAUUUAAAAAAAUAAGUUAUAAAAUAUAUCAGAAUGAACUCAAUGCCAGAUCUGGUGGUUUCAACAGUUAGAUUAAUCUCUAACUUUCUCCAAAAUGUUUUAUAAACAUAAAAUAGUAGAGUCAUGACAUCUUGUAUUCAGAUAUGUUCUGGGGUGGGGUGUCAGGGAAAGCAUCCGAAUUCUAGUUUUAUGAGAAGAAUCAUUUUGGAUGCAUGCAGUGAACUUGAACAACGUAAAAUGACUGUGAAGAAUAAUGUCUAUUUUACAGUGAUAUGCAUAGAGAUACUGCAGCUGUUUUAUCAGCUUAGUUUUCUGGGAAACAAAAAGUUUCAAAGAUUUUGACCAAACACUGUCAUUGGUGAAAUUCAUUUUAUUUUAUUAUAUUUUAUUUUAUUUUUUCAGAGACAGGCUGAAGUGGUGCAGUCAUAGCUUACUGUAGUCUUGACCUACUGGGCUCAAGCAAUCCUCCUGCCUCAGCCUCCUGAGUAACUAGGACUACAGGGCAGCCUUGAACAUACCAGGAAGCAAUAGGAAAAAACUGGAGAAAGUGAAAAGGCUGCGAUGAAGGAAAAGAGGAGACAAACAAGGGUGACAUUGGCUGGGCAGCAAAGAUGACCAAAAGGCCAAGAAGCCUGUGCUGUUCCAGUAUUGAUCCGGUGCUCCUCCGUCACCAUCCGACCACAGAACCUCAGGCUGAUAGUUGUUCACUAACUCAUAGAGCUCUGGCAAUGUCUUAGAAACUGGAAAUUGCCGCUUAUGGAAUGAACUGGAUUCAUCCUCAAGGAAGAGCGGAUGAAACCAUUCAAAAAGGGAAUAGUACAGUCCAAAACGCAGGUUCUGGCUCUGUCACCCAGGCUGGAGUUCAGUGGUGCGAACUUCGCUCACUGCAUCCUCGACCUCCUGGGCUCAAGUGAUGCUCCCACCUCAGCCUACCAAGUAGCUAGGACUACAGGUGUGUACUCCACCACGCCCAGCUAAUUUUGUCUAUUUUUUCAGAGACAGGGUCUCACUUUGCUGCCUAGGCCAGUCUCAAACUCCUGGCCUCAAGCAAUCCUCCUUCCUUGGCCUCCCAAAGUGUUGGAAUUAUAGAUGUGAGCCACUGCACCUAGCCUUAGAUUCAUUUUAAUAAGCUUUUUAAAACAGCUCACUCUUGUUCCUAUCAUUUCUGUGGUAAGCUUCAGAGCAGUGUUGAUAUCUAAAGUCAUACUCAAAGUUACUCAACUUGACAGGCCCUAAUGUCAGACAGUACUAAAACCACUUGAGUCUUCAUUUGAAUAUCACCACCAUAAGCUUACACUGCGACGUUCCUUCCUGAGCUUAGUAUGCAUUUUCCAUGAGCAAUGAAAACAUCUGACAACAUGGGUCCCAGAAAAUGUAUACAUGUGGGCUACAUCAUCUCUCCUCACAGUUUGAUUAACAAUUUUUAUUAAAUAAACUCACUAUGUAAUGUUUUGUGCCAUACAGCUUGGGAAAGUUCCUAGACAUCAGGAAAUCAGCAUGUUCUCAAGCAAAUACACUUGAUAGACAUUCAUCUCAGCAGGAUAAAUAUCUACAGGAGAAAAUCAUGAAGCUACCAGAAUGUGGCCAAAGGGAAAAAUAUCCUAUGAUCAUUCCAGAUUUUUUGUGUUGGUUCUCCUCUCCUAUUCCCAUCCCAUCCCUGGAGAAAACAAUAAGGCAAAGUUUCCCGUUUUUUUUUUUUUUUUUUUUUGAGACAGGAUCUCCCUCCGCCACCUAGACUGGAGUGUAGUAAGCCUAUCUCCGCUCACUGCAGCCUCAAGCAGUCCUCCAACCUAAGCCUCCCAAGUAGCUGGGACUACAGAGACAUACCACUACGCUAAUUUUUUAGUUUUUGUUUGUUUGUUUGUUUUUGUAGAGACAGGGUCUCACUAUGUUGCCCAGGCUGGUCUUGAACCCCUGGGCUCAAAUGAUCCUCCUUCCUCGGCCUCCCAAAAUUUUGGGAUUACAGACAUGAGCGACCACAUCCAGUGCAAAUUUUUUUAUACCAAGGCAAAGAUGAUCAUGCAAAAGAAACUAAUGAAUGAACAAGCCGUUGGAACAAAAACAAUUUGUUAAUGCUUCCCUGGCCUUACAAAUACUGGAGUGGUAAUGGGUGGAAUCCAUUCUAUUAAAAUAGAAUGGAUUUUAAAUGUGUGGGGGUUUAGAUAUUCUUCUACCACCUCUGAUUUUUCUGGAAACCAUUACAGUUCCACAAUCCUUUUCCCUCCAGGUGAUCUGGGUCACUUUCAUCACUUUCAUCACUAUCAGUUCAUCCACUAUUUGCACCAUUUGGCCAGCUAAGAGUUGGCUAAAAGUGCAGCCAGGUGUGUCGUAAUGAUGCAAGACUAUAGCAGUAUAAUCCCCAUGAUGCAUUCACAGGAUGCAUUACAGAGAAGGGGAAGGAAAGAGUGCAAUUCCAAGAUGAACUUUGACUUGCAACCCACACUCCCUUCAACAAACAGCUUUAAGUAAAUCUUGGAAAUAUUGUUCAAAAUACAUGUGACAAAACGUGACCAUCUUUCCUCUGUUACGUGGCGGGUAUGAUCCUUUCUGUAUUCCUAACAUCUCUCAAUUUGGGUUGAAUGUGCAGUCCCUAAGUCAUAAGCAAGUGCCAGUCACCACUUAUGGUUGCUCCGAAGAGAAAAUUAGACCUUGCUUUAGUUUUUUCUUCCAAAAGAACAACUUUUCAUUUCUUAACCAUUGUCAGCAAUUUCCAUAGGCUGGAUUGACUUACCUUCAUGAUGUUUGGAAGUUAAGACAAUGUAUUUGGCACCAGAGGCCUGAAAAAUAUCUGCCCACUGGUUGGCAUUAAAAAAUUUUGCUGU
rnacentral:lncRNA from 1 species